rnacentral:rRNA from 1 species
GACGAACGCUGGCGGCGUGCCUGACACAUGCAAGUCGAACGGAGUUUCACUUUGAACUGAUAGGAGCUUGCUCCAGGAAGUUCUGUGUGAAACUUAGUGGCGGACGGGUGAGUAACGCGUGAGCAACCUGCCUUACAGAGGGGGACAACAUCGGGAAACUGAUGCUAAUACCGCAUGAUAUUGUUUGUCCGCAUGACAGAACAAUCAAAGAUUUAUCGCUGUAAGAAUGGGCUCGCGUCCGAUUAGGUAGUUGGUGAGGUAACGGCUCACCAAGCCGACGAUCGGUAGCCGGACUGAGAGGUUGAACGGCCACAUUGGGACUGAGACACGGCCCAGACUCCUACGGGAGGCAGCAGUGGGGGAA